GUAGUGGAAUUGCUGGAUCAGAUGGCACUUCUAUUUUUAAUUUUUUGAGGAGAGCACAAUGCCAUUGCCUGCUUCCCCCGACCUCAUCAGACACCCUGGCACUGGAAGCAAACUGCCUCCAUCCUGGUUCACCUUUCUCACCAUAUUUGGUGGGAGCAGCUCCCAGAUCGGAUGAGAGAUCUGGUCAUGAGAGAUCUUGGAACCCUACAGAGCUGGAAAGGAAGACACAUGAGCAACAUGAAAAGACAAGGGAAGAAAGUGCCCCAAACAAAUCAAGAUACCACAUCAUUAGAAUCAUUGGCAGUCACAGCUGGAGAAAUUACAAAGAAGGAGUUCAGGAUGUACAUGUUUAAAUGUUCUGUGAACUCAAGGAAGUUAUAAAAGAGCAAAUACAGGCAGUGAAAGAUCACUUCGACAAGGAGCUACAUAAACAAAUAUAAGAAGCAAAAGAUAACCUCAACAGGGAGAGAGAGGUUCUAAAAAAAGAACUAAAAAGAAAUCAUUUAAAUCAAAGAAACAGUAAACCAAAUUAAAAGCUCAAAUGAAAGCAUCACCAACAGAGUAGACUACUUGGAAGAUAGGACAUCAGACGAGGAAGAUAAAAUAUACAAUCUUGAAAAGAACAUAGACCCACAUAGUGAUAAUGGUAAGAAACCAUGAGCAGAACAUUCAAGAAAUAUGGGAUAGCAUCAAAAGACCAAAUUUAAUAGUUAUUGGCAUAGAGGAAGGCAUAGAUGUCCAAACCAAAGGAAUGAACAAUCUAUAAAAUGAAAUAAUAUCAGAAAACUUUCCAAACAUGAAGAAUGAAUUGGAAACCCAAAUUCAAGAAGCCUACAGGAUGCUGAAUGUACAAAAUCAUAACAGAUCCGCACCAAGGCACAUUAUAACAAAAAUGCCCAACAUAUAGAAUGAGUAGAGAAUUUUAAAAGCCACGAGAGAAAGGAAUCAAAUUAUAUAUAUGGGAAACCCAAGUAGGAUAAUGGCAGAUUUUUUAACACAGACCCUGAAAGCUAGAAGAUCCUGGAACAAUAUAUAUCAAGUUCUGAAAGAAAAUGGGUGCCAACCAAAAUCUAGUAUCCAGCAAAAUUAAGCUUUAGAUUUGAAGAUGAAAUAAAAACCUUCCCUGAUAAGCAAAAGUUAAAAGAAUUUAUAGCUAGAAAAACAUCACUAUAAAACAUCCUUGGAAAAAUAUUCCAUGAAGAGGAAACGAAAAACAAUAAUGAAAAUCAACAGAGGGAGGUAGUACCCUAAAGGAAAAACUAAUCAAAGAAGAAAACUAAGUCAAGUUAAAUAACAAAAAUAAACAAAUAUGGCUGAGAAUACAAACCAUGUCUCAAUAACUCUGAAUGUUAAUGGCUUAAACUCACCAAUCAAAGGCAUAGGCUACCAGAUUGGAUUUUAAAAAAUACUCAACAAUAUGCUGCCUCCAGG
rnacentral:lncRNA from 1 species